rnacentral:lncRNA from 10 species
UUAUGGGUGACUUGCCCUUUCACUCUGGUUGUCUUUAAGAUCUUACCUUUGUCUUUUGCAUUUUCAUUUUCACUGAGAUGUGUCUAGGUAAGGAUUUAUUUUUACUUAUCCUACUUGGGAUGCAUUUUUGUUCCUAGACUUCUGAUAUGUUUUUCACGAGUUCUGAAGAUGUCAUGGCCAUUAUCUCUGUGAAUAUUUUAUUUCCCUCAUCCUCUCUGUUCUACAUUUUUGAGGACCUGGCUACACAUACAUGUGCAUCUUCACACACACACAUCCUCACUUGUGCUUCCUUUAUGUUUUUCUUCUAUUUGUCUUUCAGGGUUGCAACUUUGGUAGCUUGUUAACUCCCAAUUCCCUAAUUGGUAUUUUAAGAUUUGUAUGUUUCAUUUCAAAAGUUUUUAAAAGCUAUCUGUUCAUUCCUGAUAAUCUCUUGUUGCCUGCUCAUACAUACAUGCAUACAUGUACUUUUUAAACAUAGAUGUAUCUUAAAAUUUUUAUUUGGAAAUAACUUUAGAUUUGUGGGAGA